rnacentral:lncRNA from 1 species
AUGUUUUGGUGCCAUGUGUCCCCUGUAGCCCAUCCUAAGCACUCACCGGAGGUGUCUUCAUCUGGGCGAGACCUCUCUGGGAACAUAAUAGCCAAAGAGGGCUGCCAUCAAUUCCUUCCUCCUGGAAUAUGCACAUUCUUCCUCACAUCAAAAGAUAGAAAAAUCUCUUUUCCACUUUUGAGUCCAAGUAAUUUGGAAAAAAAUAACCCCACACCAAACUUUGGUCAUCUGAAGCCUGUGUUACAUCUGAAGUUUUUGAUUAUGUGAGACAAUAAAUGCCUCUUGACUGCUGGUUGACCCGUGAGC